rnacentral:rRNA from 1 species
GAUGAACGCUGGCGGCGUGCCUAAUACAUGCAAGUCGAGCGAACGGACGAGAAGCUUGCUUCUCUGAUGUUAGCGGCGGACGGGUGAGUAAAACGUGGAUAAACUCCUUAUAAGACUGGGAUAACUUCGGGAAAACGGGGCUAAUACGGCAUAAUAUUUUGAACCACAUGAUUCAAAAGUGAAAGACGUUGUUGCUGUCACUUAUAGAUGGAUCCGCGCUUGAUUGGCUAGGUGGUAAGGUAACGGCGUACCAAGGCUACGAUGGGUAGCCGACCUGAGAGGGUGCGCGGCGACGCUGGAACUGAGACACGGUCCGGCCUCCUACGGGAGGCAGCAGUAGGGAAUCUUUCGCAAUGGGCGAAAGGCGGACGGAGGAACGCCGGGGGAAUGAUGAAGGUCUUGGGACCGUAAAACUCUGUUAUUAGGGAAGAACAUAUGUGUAAGUAACUGUGCACAUCAUGACGGUACCUAAUCAGAAAGCCACGGCUAACUACGUG